AUUGAACGCUAGCGGGAUGCUUUACACAUGCAAGUCGAACGAGUGGCGGACGGGUGAGUAAUAUAUCGGAACGUGCUCAGUAGCUGGGGAUAACUACCCGAAAGAGUGGCUAAUACCGCAUACUAUUGGCUCGGCCGUUAUCGGAAUAGCUAGUUGGGGGGGUAAAGGUUCACAAAGGCAACGAUCCGUACCUGGUUUGAGAGCAGGACCAGCCACACUGGGACUGAGACACGGCCCAGACUCCUACGGGAGGCAGCAGUGGGGAAUUUUGGACAAUGGGGGAAACCCUGAUCCAGCCAUCCCGCGGGUAUGAGAAGGCCUUCGGGUUGUAAAGUACUUUUGGCAGAGAAGCGGUAUCUGCAGAAUAAGCACCGGCUAACUACGUGCCAGCAGCCGCGGUAAUUC
rnacentral:rRNA from 1 species